rnacentral:rRNA from 1 species
CAUGCAAGUCGAGGGGCAGCAUUUCAGUUUGCUUGCAAACUGGAGAUGGCGACCGGCGCACGGGUGAGUAACACGUAUCCAACCUGCCGAUAACUCGGGGAUAGCCUUUCGAAAGAAAGAUUAAUACCCGAUGGNAUAAUCAGACCGCAUGGUCUNAUUAUUAAAGAAUUUCGGUUAUCGAUGGGGAUGCGUUCCAUUAGGCAGUUGGUGAGGUAACGGCUCACCAAACCUUCGAUGGAUAGGGGUUCUGAGAGGAAGGUCCCCCACAUUGGAACUGAGACACGGUCCAAACUCCUACGGGAGGCAGCAGUGAGGAAUAUUGGUCAAUGGGCGCAGGCCUGAACCAGCCAAGUAGCGUGAAGGAUGACUGCCCUAUGGGUUGUAAACUUCUUUUAUAUGGGAAUAAAGUUUUCCACGUGUGGAAUUUUGUAUGUACCAUAUGAAUAAGGAUCGGCUAACUCCGUGCCAGCAGCCGCGGUAAUACGGAGGAUCCGAGCGUUAUCCGGAUUUAUUGGGUUUAAAGGGAGCGUAGGUGGACAGUUAAGUCAGUUGUGAAAGUUUGCGGCUCAACCGUAAAAUUGCAGUUGAUACUGGCUGUCUUGAGUACAGUAGAGGUGGGCGGAAUUCGUGGUGUAGCGGUGAAAUGCUUAGAUAUCACGAAGAACUCCGAUUGCGAAGGCAGCUCACUGGACUGCAACUGACACUGAUGCUCGAAAGUGUGGGUAUCAAACAGGAUUAGAUACCCUGGUAGUCCACACAGUAAACGAUGAAUACUCGCUGUUUGCGAUAUACAGUAAGCGGCCAAGCGAAAGCAUUAAGUAUUCCACCUGGGGAGUACGCCGGCAACGGUGAAACUCAAAGGAAUUGACGGGGGCCCGCACAAGCGGAGGAACAUGUGGUUUAAUUCGAUGAUACGCGAGGAACCUUACCCGGGCUUAAAUUGCAUUUGAAUANUNUGGAAACAGNUUAGCCGCAAGGCAAAUGUGAAGGUGCUGCAUGGUUGUCGUCAGCUCGUGCCGUGAGGUGUCGGCUUAAGUGCCAUAACGAGCGCAACCCUUAUCUUUAGUUACUAACAGGUCAUGCUGAGGACUCUAGAGAGACUGCCGUCGUAAGAUGUGAGGAAGGUGGGGAUGACGUCAAAUCAGCACGGCCCUUACGUCCGGGGCUACACACGUGUUACAAUGGGGGGUACAGAAGGCAGCUACCUGGUGACAGGAUGCUAAUCCCAAAAGCCUCUCUCAGUUCGGAUCGAAGUCUGCAACCCGACUUCGUGAAGCUGGAUUCGCUAGUAAUCGCGCAUCAGCCAUGGCGCGGUGAAUACGUUCCCGGGCCUUGUACACACCGCCCGUCAAGCCAUGAAAGCCGGGGGUACCUGAAGUACGAACCGCAAGGAG